AUUAAGGUGACCGAAUAAUAGGUGGUAAACUGUAAAUUUACUAAUGAAAUUGUUUUCUCUUAGUA
rnacentral:tRNA from 1 species